rnacentral:piRNA from 1 species
UAAGAGGAAGGCCUCUUCUGUGUUGC